GUGGGGAAUAUUGGACAAUGGGCGAAAGCCUGAUCCAGCCAUGCCGCGUGUGUGAAGAAGGUCUUCGGAUUGUAAAGCACUUUAAGUUGGGAGGAAGGGCAGUAAGUUAAUACCUUGCUGUUUUGACGUUACCGACAGAAUAAGCACCGGCUAACUUCGUGCCAGCAGCCGCGGUAAUACGAAGGGUGCAAGCGUUAAUCGGAAUUACUGGACGUAAAGCGCGCGUAGGUGGUUUUGUAAGUUGGAGGUGAAAUCCCCGGGCUCAACCUGGGAACUGCCUCCAAAACUGCAUGACUAGAGUACGGUAGAGGGUAGUGGAAUUUCCUGUGUAGCGGUGAAAUGCGUAGAUAUAGGAAGGAACACCAGUGGCGAAGGCGACUACCUGGACUGAUACUGACACUGAGGUGCGAAAGCGUGGGGAGCAAACAGGAUUAGAUACCCGGGUAGUCC
rnacentral:rRNA from 1 species